CCCUUAGAUGUCCUGGGCCGCACGCGCGCUACACUGACAUGUUCAACAAGCCUCCUAGUUCGACAGGAUUUGGGAAAUCUUGAACGCAUGUCGUGAUAGGGAUAGAUCAUUGCAAUUAUUGAUCUUGAACGAGGAAUUCCUAGUAAACGCGAGUCAUCAGCUCGCAUUGAUUACGUCCCUGCCCUUUGUACACACCGCCCGUCGCACCUACCGAUUGAAUGUUUCGGUGAAGAUUCCGGAUAGGACUUUUUUGAUUUAUUUCAAUUUUGUCUUAAAAGCUAUCUAAACCUCAACAUUUAGAGGAAGGUGAAGUCGUAACA
rnacentral:rRNA from 1 species